GAUGAACGCUGGCGGCGUGCCUAAUACAUGCAAGUCGAGCGAACAGACGAGGAGCUUGCUCCUCUGACGUUAGCGGCGGACGUGAGUAACACGUGGAUAACCUACCUAUAAGACUGGGAUAACUUCGGGAAACCGGAGCUAAUACCGGAUAAUAUAUUGAACCGCAUGGUUCAAUAGUGAAAGACGGUUUUGCUGUCACUUAUAGAUGGAUCCGCGCCGCAUUAGCUAGUUGGUAAGGUAACGGCUUACCAAGGCGACGAUGCGUAGCCGACCUGAGAGGGUGAUCGGCCACACUGGAACUGAGACACGGUCCAGACUCCUACGGGAGGCAGCAGUAGGGAAUCUUCCGCAAUGGGCGAAAGCCUGACGGAGCAACGCCGCGUGAGUGAUGAAGGUCUUCGGAUCGUAAAACUCUGUUAUUAGGGAAGAACAAAUGUGUAAGUAACUAUGCACGUCUUGACGGUACCUAAUCAGAAAGCCACGGCUAACUACGUG
rnacentral:rRNA from 1 species